rnacentral:rRNA from 1 species
UAGGGAAUCUUCGGCAAUGGACGAAAGUCUGACCGAGCAACGCCGCGUGAGUGAAGAAGGCUUUCGGAUCGUAAAACUCUGUUGUUAGAGAAGAACAAGGACGUUAGUAACUGAACGUCCCCUGACGGUAUCUAACCAGAAAGCCACGGCUAACUACGUGCCAGCAGCCGCGGUAAUACGUAGGUGGCAAGCGUUGUCCGGAUUUAUUGGGCGUAAAGCGAGCGCAGGCGGUUUCUUAAGUCUGAUGUGAAAGCCCCCGGCUCAACCGGGGAGGGUCAUUGGAAACUGGGAGACUUGAGUGCAGAAGAGGGGAGUGGAAUUCCAUGUGUAGCGGUGAAAUGCGUAGAUAUAUGGGGGAACACCAGUGGCGAAGGCGGCUCUCUGGUCUGUAACUGACGCUGAGGCUCGAAAGCGUGGGGAGCAAACAGG